AGUAGUUUCAGAGCUUGAAGAAUUUUCAUCGAUAUGGAGAGAAAAACAACAUUAGGGUUUAUGCUGCUUCUCAUGGUAAUCUUUGCUUCUGAUGUGGCCGUGAAGAGAACAGAUGCCACAAUAUGUACAGUGCCGAGCAAGACGUUCAAGUAUGAAUGCUUCAGCGAUCCCAGUUGUGACAGUGUAUGUAAAACCGAAGGUUAUACCAGCGGCAAGUGCGAAGGUGUCCUUCAUCGAUGCAUGUGUACCAAAACUAAUUGUUGAAAUUUAUUCGCUUUUCUUUCAAUAAAAACCCAAUAUAUCCAUUUAUUAACCAUCUUA